UACGGGGGGGGCAAGCGUUGUUCGGAAUUACUGGGCGUAAAGGGCUCGUAGGUGGCCAACUAAGUCAGACGUGAAAUCCCUCAGCUUAACUGGGGAACUGCGUCUGAUACUGGAUGGCUUGAGUUUGGGAGAGGGAUGCGGAAUUCCAGGUGUAUCGGUGAAAUGCGUAGAUAUCGGGAGGAACACCUGUGGCGAAAGCGGCUCACUGGACCACAACUGACGCUGAGGCGCGAAAGCUAGGGGAGCAAACAGG
rnacentral:rRNA from 1 species